rnacentral:lncRNA from 1 species
UAAUGGCAAAUUCAAGGUUCUGAUAGGUUAUUGUAAGUUAAUAUUUGUUUUAAAUUGGUUAAAUCUUCAAUUUACGGCUAAAAUUCCAUUUGCGUACCUCUGUAGCCCAAAUAUUUGUUUCUGCAACUUCUCUUGUUUCUCCAGAGUGUUCUUCAGGAAAUAUUCAAGAAAAAACAGUUUACCAUGGUAUGACUUUUGCGUACCUCUCAGCGGAAUAGACUUGCUAUGAAACUACAAUAAAGAGACCCUUUAUAUGUUUUUACAUUGUUUAAAGUUGUUUUUGAAUUUUCCUUGUUGCUGGUUUUUUACUUAUAACAAUUUACAUUCAGCCAUUUUGCUAAGAUGCCAUUGA